rnacentral:rRNA from 1 species
CGUAGAGAAAUCGAGUCUUAAUAGGGCGUUUAGUUGCUGGGUAUAGACCCGAAACCAGGCGAUCUAUCCAUGAGCAGGUUGAAGGUUGGGUAACACUAACUGGAGGACCGAACCCACUGUCGUUGAAAAGCCAGGGGAUGACUUGUGGAUAGGGGUGAAAGGCUAAUCAAGCCUGGUGAUAGCUGGUUCUCCCCGAAAGCUAUUUAGGUAGCGCCUCGGACGAAUACCAUAGGGGGUAGAGCACUGUUUCGGCUAGGGGGUCAUCCCGACUUACCAAACCGAUGCAAACUCCGAAUACCUAUGAGUACUAUCCGGGAGACAGACUGCGGGUGCUAACGUCCGUAGUCAAGAGGAAAACAAUCCAGACCGCCAGCUAAGGCCCCAAAAUCAUAGUUAAGUGGGAAACGAUGUGGGAAGGCAUAGACAGCUAGGAGGUUGGCUUAGAAGCAGCCACCCUUUAAAGAAAGCGUAAUAGCUCACUAGUCGAGUCGGCCUGCGCGGAAGAUGUAACGGGGCUAAAACUAUGUGCCGAAGCUGCGGAUGUAUACUUUGUAUACGUGGUAGGGGAGCGUUCUGUAAGCCGAUGAAGGUGUGUUGAGAAGCAUGCUGGAGGUAUCAGAAGUGCGAAUGCUGACGUGAGUAACGACAAAACGGGUGAAAAACCCGUUCGCCGAAAGACCAAGGGUUCCAGUCCAACGUUAAUCGGGGCUGGGUGAGUCGACCCCUAAGGCGAGGCCGAAAGGCGUAGUCGAUGGGAAAAUGGUUAAUAUUCCAUUACUUCUGUGUAAUGCGAUGAGAGGACGGAGAAGGCUAAAUCAGCCUGGCGUUGGUUGUCCAGGUGAAAGGAUGUAGGCAUGUAUCUUAGGCAAAUCCGGGGUACUCUAUGCUGAGAUCUGAUAGCAAGCUGUACUUGUACAGCGAAGUGGUUGAUGCCAUGCUUCCAGGAAAAGUCUCUAAGCUUCAGUUACACAGGAAUCGUACCCGAAACCGACACAGGUGGUCAGGUCGAGUAGACCAAGGCGCUUGAGAGAACUCUGCUGAAGGAACUAGGCAAAAUGGUACCGUAACUUCGGGAGAAGGUACGCUGUUGUUGGUGAUGGAACUCGCUUCCUGAGCUGACGACAGCCGCAGAAACCAGGC